UAGUCCACGCUGUAAACGAUGAUCACUCGCUGUUGGCCGGUAUAGGUCAGUGGCCAAGCGAAAGCGUUAAGUGAUCCACCUGGGGAGUACGCUCGCAAGAAUGAAACUCAAAGGAAUUGACGGGGGCCCGCACAAGCGGUGGAGCAUGUGGUUUAAUUCGAUGAUACGCGAGGAACCUUACCAGGGCUUAAAUGUAGAGUGACAGAUUUAGAGAUAGAUUUUUCUUCGGACACUUUACAAGGUGCUGCAUGGUUGUCGUCAGCUCGUGCCGUGAGGUGUCAGGUUAAGUCCUAUAACGAGCGCAACCCCUGUUGUUAGUUGCCAGCGAGUAAUGUCGGGAACUCUAACAAGACUGCCGGUGCAAACCGUGAGGAAGGUGGGGAUGACGUCAAAUCAUCACGGCCCUUACGUCCUGGGCUACACACGUGCUACAAUGGUAGGUACAGAGAGCAGCCACUACGCGAGUAGGAGCGAAUCUAUAAAACCUAUCACAGUUCGGAUC
rnacentral:rRNA from 1 species